GCGGAGAGCGCUUAGUAACAAUUGGUUACUUUUGACGUCUUUAGCCCGUGGGCCAAGACGCGAUUGGAUAAGGCCAGCCCGGAGGGGGCGGGAAAAAGGGAGGAGGGCUAAAAGAUGGGUCGUGUUUGAUGUUGAUGGGGGCGGGGUGCAGAGAGAGUGACAAUUGUGGCCGCAAGCUGGUUUUGGGGGCUGAGAUUAGGACAGAGAAAAAUGGAGCUUGCUUUAUCCUGUUCACCCAUUCAAGGGGCUGAUGGCUCACGUGUCAUGGAGCAUGACCAGAUAAUGCUUUGAAGGCUGGUCAGCGCUGGACCAGAAACCACCGUCAAGGGACCCCCCCCUCAGCCCUUCCCCACUCUGAAGAUGUGCAAGUCCUGGAGUGUGAACAGAGAUAGCCUCACAGGCCUGAAUUUAGCCCCAGACCUGUUGGGUCUGCCUUUGAGAGGACCCACGUGGUGUUUCAGGGUGAAGAAGACUCCUUUGCCGUUGUCGAAUUUUUCAUUCAGUUGUUGUGUUACCUAAAAAAAAUAUUACCUCAGCAUUUAUUUAUUCCCCUAUAUCCUCUUCCAUCUCGGGAAAGAAAAACCCAGACUGUGUAGGAGAGGAUUUUAGUGAGGGACCCGCUUCGUUCUGACUCUUCGUGUUAAGACAGUUUGAGCUUUCAGAAAAGAGCUUUAGAUCUGUUGCCGGUUGUUCAUGUGGAUCAAGGCUGCCCCAGGUACAGAAGCCCAAGGUGACCUGGCCUACAUGCCAAUCUAUAUGACCCGAUGGAUUUUAUGGUGUGGGUUAAGGCUGCCCCAGGGAGAGAAGCCCAGGGCAUCCUCGCCUACACGCUUAUCUAUGUGACCAGAUUCAUAUCUAAAGUUAUACGACCACACAAUAACCAGACCCCAUCUGCACUGAAACCAUUUAAUGACUUUUUCCAUCAUCUUUUCUUUUUCCAGUGAAAAUAAGUCACAUACCCAUGCCUUAUAAAUUUAGCCCUAACCCUCAACACGUUGCAGCAGCAGCUGACUGCCCAUGGGUCCUGUCCCCACGCAGCAGCAGCAGCAGCAGCUCUUUACUGCCCAUGGGUCCUGUCCCCAUGCUAUUCCAUACAAUUCUCUAAAUAAAAGAGCACUAC
rnacentral:lncRNA from 1 species